rnacentral:rRNA from 1 species
UACGAAGGGGGCUAGCGUUGCUCGGAAUCACUGGGCGUAAAGGGCGCGUAGGCGGCGUUUUAAGUCGGGGGUGAAAGCCUGUGGCUCAACCACAGAAUGGCCUUCAAUACUGGGACGCUUGAGUAUGGUAGAGGUUGGUGGAACUGCGAGUGUAGAGGUGAAAUUCGUAGAUAUUCGCAAGAACACCGGUGGCGAAGGCGGCCAACUGGACCAUUACUGACGCUGAGGCGCGAAAGCGUGGGGAGCAAACAGG